rnacentral:rRNA from 1 species
UACGUAGGGUGCAAGCGUUGUCCGGAAUUAUUGGGCGUAAAGAGCUCGUAGGCGGUUCGUCGCGUCGGCUGUGAAAUCCCGAGGCUCAACCUCGGGUCUGCAGUCGAUACGGGCGGACUGGAGUACUGCAGGGGAGACUGGAAUUCCUGGUGUAGCGGUGAAAUGCGCAGAUAUCAGGAGGAACACCGGUGGCGAAGGCGGGUCUCUGGGCCGAUGACUGACGCUGAGGAGCGAAAGCGUGGGGAGCGAACAGG